rnacentral:misc_RNA from 1 species
GGUAUUAUAAGUUUAAAUGUUGUAUCCAUUACCGAUCACUAAUAAAUCACAUAAUAAACAAGCUUUCUUUUUCUUUUAUUAACUACAAUAAUAAAAUGUUUUCCAUUUACAUAUCUAUAUAAGGCACCUUGAUUUUGAUUAGGUGUGUAUUAUCCAACUGCUUAGGAGUAGAAUUACUCGUGAAGAAAGCUUGACCUAAUAUUGGUAAAAGCUCUUUGUAUAAAUGGUAUAAAAUGGUAUUAAUUAACGAGUAGCCAUGUCAACGGCAUAUGAUUAUGUAAGUCGUCUACCAUAGCGUCUUUGCCUUUGUUGGUAUGAAGUUAAGGCCUCUAUGAAUCCAGUUUUUCCAAAAUCAGGCCAGAGUUCUUCCGCAAAGAAAAGUUCAGUGUAGGCCAACUGCCAUAGCAAGAAGUUGCUAAUUCUAAGUUCACCACUAGUUCGGAUUAAUAAAUCAGGGGAGGGAAACUCGGAGCAAUUUGUUUCCAACUCCUGCUCAAUUAGGCUUUCGCUAAUGUCUUCUGGUUCAAUAACACCAUCCUUUACCAGACAAGCAAUACUUUUGCAUGCUUUUACAACAUCAUACUUUCCACUGUAGCUAACCGCCACUAGAAGGUGCAGUUUCGAGAAAUUUCUGGUGGUCUCCUCCACUUCAUUUAUUAAUCUUUGCAAAGACUGUGGAAGCCUUGAUGAGUCCCCGAUCACAGAGAUUCGAAUACCUUCCCUCACAAAUUUAUCCAUCUCUGACUUUAACACGCUUUCGAACAAACUCAUCAAGAAAUCAAUCUCCACUUUGGGCCUAGUCCAAUUAUCGCAAGAAAACGCAAAAACGGUAAGAACUUUAAUCCCCCAUUGACAAGAAAUCUGCACGAUCUCCAGCAAAGACCGUGCACCAGCCUCAUGACCCAUCGAUGCCAUCUGACCUCGCUGCUGGGCCCACCUCCCAUUGCCGUCCAUGAUCACGGCGACAUGCCGUGGCAUCAACUCUCUCCGGAGCCCCUCCGGCAAAGGUUCAGUCUUGGGCGAGUCUCCGGUGCUUACAGCAAUAGUUUCCUCCUGUUUGACAGCUACGUCUGUUUUGGCCCCGAGAAGGCGGUGAAUUGGGCGUGUAUUAGUUCUGGCAUCGGGAGAAAGGAAGUGUUUGUGUUUUUGAGGAGUUAGAGUGUUGUAAAAAGGGAGAGGGAGGGCCAAGUGCAAGGAUUGCAUUCUUCCUCCUCUUCUUCUAGUUGUUUUUGGUCUUUGGUUUCGCUUGAUCCCUUUCUAUAUAUUGAUUCCCUG